CAGAAAGGGGAGAGGGAAAAGGAAAUUAAAUCACCAUAUGUUAAAAUAUCAGGCCAAAAAAUAAGCUAUGACUGCGCUGUGUACGUUAUGAAGUGGAUGGAGUUAAUUGAGCCAGAAAACAUCAAAAAGGGGAAGUAUCAAUGGGAUAAUUGGCCACAGGAGGAGGUGGACCACUAUAGAGUGGAGUACGCUUCCCGGAUACUAUUCAGUGAGAUGAAUACACAGAGAGAUCGGGCAAUUAGAGAGAGUAGUGCUAUAAGGCUGUCGAAGCCAUCCUCUGUAUUAUUAAGUCCGUUUUGUCAGAUUAAUUCUGCUGAUAUAGAAACU